AUUUUUCAUUCGUUUUCCGGCUCUCGUUCAGGCAACAACUAAAAAUUAUUUUCGGGAAAAAAAAAUUAUGAAAAUUAUUUGAGUAAAAAAAUUUGUGUGUAAAAAUGUUUACGCGAGUUAAAAAAUUUUGUUUGUGAAAAGUAUCACAAGUGUAAAAAUUAUUAUUCGUAAAUCCUAAUUCCAAUGAUGGCUAAAAGGAUGCAGCAAUAAUGAUUUCUACAGAUACGGGUUACGUUUCAAAGAAAGCCAUCGACAGAAUGGUUUUUCUUUCACUUAAUACAAAUUAAUACCGAAGGACCAGCUGGAAUUAGCCAAUACAAGUUUUUUUUUCAAAGUUCCAUGUUAAAAAUGUUUCAUUUGACAGUUUUUUCAUGGCCAAGCAAGACCAUGACCGGCAUAA